rnacentral:lncRNA from 1 species
ACAAAACACAUGGGCCACCCGCUUCAGAGAGCAGAGCCCUGAAAGAACCACGGCCCUCAGCAAUGCACGAUUGUUUGUCUCUCUUUGGCCAUCUGGUUGUGGGAGACAGAGCAAGUCAGAUUUAGCUCGUUAGAAGUCACUGGGGCUUUCACUUUAGCCCUGAGAUUUUUUUAGGUCAGGUAGUGUGUGUGAGAGCAGACAAACGAUUCCUAUGAUACUGUGGAAGCGGCAGUCAUUGUCUGGUGCACUGAUGAGGGAGCUGGGGUAGAAUGGAAGGCAAGCAGCCCAAACGUGUGGCGUUUUGCCCACAAACUCUUUGACAGGCCUCCUUGUGUGGUCAAAUGGUACCUAGAAGAUUCCUUAGUUGUCUUAUUUCUUUAAAUUAAAUAAAUUUGUACAGCAGAGCCUCUGGUUGGAUUGGGCUUGGGAUCAGGUACAAGGUCCCUUCUAGCUCUUGGCUGCUUUCUUUCCGAAAUCUUGGAUCCUAAAGGCCUUAACUCAACAGAAU